CACGGGGGGAGCAAGCGUUGUUCGGAAUCACUGGGCGUAAAGGGCGCGUAGGCGGCCUGUUAAGUCGAACGUGAAAUCCCCGGGCUCAACCCGGGAACUGCGUCCGAUACUGGCAGGCUUGAAUUCGGGAGAGGGAUGCGGAAUUCCAGGUGUAGCGGUGAAAUGCGUAGAUAUCUGGAGGAACACCGGUGGCGAAGGCGGCAUCCUGGACCGAGAUUGACGCUGAUGCGCGAAAGCCAGGGGAGCAAACGGG
rnacentral:rRNA from 1 species